rnacentral:tRNA from 3 species
GCGCCCGUAGCUCAGGGGAUAGAGCGUUGGUCUCCGGAACCAAAGGCCGUAGGUCCGAAUCCUACCGGGCGCGCAA